GCCGGGUGUGGUGCCGCGCACCUGUAGUCCCAGCUACUCGGGAGGCUGAGGCAGGAGAAUCACUUGAGCCCAGGAGGCGGAGGUUGCAGUGAGCCGAGAUCCCACCACUGCACUCCAGCCUGGGUGACAGAGCGAGACUCCGUCUCAA
ensembl:misc_RNA Metazoa_SRP Metazoan signal recognition particle RNA